rnacentral:rRNA from 1 species
AGUCGAGCGCGAAGGGAGCAUCCUGAGUAAAGCGGCGAAAGGGUGAGUAACACGUGGUUAACCUGCCUGGAUGUGGGGGAUACCCCGGGGAAACUCGGGACAAUACCGCAAGAUGUCUCUGGGCGUCGGCCCGGGAGAGCAAAGCCGGGGACCGCARGGCCUGGCGCAUCCAAAGGGGACGCGGCCGAUUAGC